rnacentral:lncRNA from 1 species
AAAAAAAAAAAAAAAUUGGGAAAUUCAACAAAGCUUCAUCAAUGGAGGACAACUACAAAUUCUCAAAAGCUUCACAUUAUCUUGAUCAAGAUAGUGUGAAGCAAAAUCAAUUCGUGGUACCCAAUAAAGCUUCACCACAAAAGCUUCACCAACAAAAGCUUCAUCAAUGGAGGACAACUACAAAUUCUCGAAAACUUCACACUAUCUUGAUCAAGAUAGUGUGAAGCAAAAUCAAUUCAUGGUACCCAACAAAAGCUUCAACUCCAAAGCUUCACCUACAAAAGCUUCACCUAUAAAAGCUUCAUCAACAAAAGCUUCAGCCACAAAAGCUUCACCCACCACAAAAGCUUCACCCACAAAAGCUUCACCCACCACAAAAACUUCACCCA